rnacentral:rRNA from 1 species
GAUCAUGGCUCAGGAUGAACGCUGGCGGCGUGCCUAAUACAUGCAAGUCGAACGAGCGAGAUCCAGCUUGCUGGAUUAGCGAGUGGCGAACGGGUGAGUAAUACGUAAGCAACCUGCCUACACGGACUGGGAUAACACCUGGAAACGGGCGCUAAUACCGGAUAGGUAACGAGAGGGCAUCCUCUUGUUAUUAAAGGUUUGAAACACAAGUAGAUGGGCUUACGGUGCAUUAGCUAGUUGGUGAGGUAACGGCCCACCAAGGCGAUGAUGCAUAGCCGGCCUGAGAGGGUGAACGGCCACAUUGGGACUGAGACACGGCCCAGACUCCUACGGGAGGCAGCAGUAGGGAAUUUUCGGCAAUGGGCGCAAGCCUGACCGAGCAACGCCGCGUGAAGUGAUGAAGGUUUUCGGAUCGUAAAGCUCUGUUGUAAGGGAAGAAUGGCGCGGAUAGACUCCGCGAUUGACGGUACCUUACCAGAAAGCCACGGCUAACUACGUGCCAGCAGCCGC